GAAAUGCGAUAAGUAAUGUGAAUUGCAGAAUUCAGUGAAUCAUCAAAUCUUUGAACGCACCUUGCGCUCCUUGGUAUUCCGAGGAGCAUGCCUGUUUGAGUGUCAUGGAAUUCUCAACUCUAUUUGCUUUUGUGAAUAGAGCUUGGAUUUGGAGGUUUAUUGCUGGUACUUGUGAUCGGCUCCUCUUGAAUGCAUUAGCUCGAACCUUUGCGGAUCAGCUAUCGGUGUGAUAAUUGUCUACGCCGUUGCAGUGAAGCAUAUCAAUGGGCUCGGCUUCCAAUCGUCCUUUACUGGACAAUGACUUUGACCUUUGACCUCAAAUCAGGUAGGAUUACCCGCUGAACUUAAGC
rnacentral:misc_RNA from 1 species